rnacentral:rRNA from 1 species
AGCGAACGCUGGCGGCAGGCUUAACACAUGCAAGUCGAGCGGGCAUCUUCGGAUGUCAGCGGCAGACGGGUGAGUAACACGUGGGAACGUACCCUUCGGUUCGGAACAACUCUGGGAAACUGGAGCUAAUACCGGAUACGCCCUUAUGGGGAAAGGUUUACUGCCGAAGGAUCGGCCCGCGUCUGAUUAGCUAGUUGGUGGGGUAACGGCCUACCAAGGCGACGAUCAGUAGCUGGUAUGAGAGGAUGAUCAGCCACACUGGGACUGAGACACGGCCCAGACUCCUACGGGAGGCAGCAGUGGGGAAUAUUGGACAAUGGGCGCAAGCCUGAUCCAGCCAUGCCGCGUGAGUGAUGAAGGCCUUAGGGUUGUAAAGCUCUUUUGUCCGGGACGAUAAUGACGGUACCGGAAGAAUAAGCCCCGGCUAACUUCGUG